GCUAGUGUGGUGUAGUGGUUUGAGUGUUGGACUACAACUCUGGAGAUCCUGGGUUCGAUUCCCUGCUCAGCA